CCCAAAAAAAAACCAAACAUUUUUAAAAUGACCUUUUAGACAUUUAUAAAGCAAUAUACACACAGUGUUCAGAUGUGAGUUAUUGUGUCUGUAGACACAUAGAAAACAUGGGAGGUUUUCAUGAUGUGAUUAAUAUUCAUUACUGCAUAAUUAGUACAACUAUCAGGGAAAAAACAAACUAUUACAACAUGGAGAAGUAAUCAUUGAAACCCUGAAAAAGCUCCCAUCCCACAUUAUAAAGCUCCCAUGCAGUAGUUGUAGGACAACAAUCCUUUGUUUCGUAUAGUUCCACCCCCUGCCCAACCUGUCACAGGUGGGUUUCAUAGUAGAUGGACAAGGUACGUCACACAGAUGGACAAUAAGAAUGGGUGUCUUGGCCAUUGUAAGCCACUGUGCGUGUGUCUCGUAACAGGGAGAAACAUUCAAACAUCGUUCCUUUAAUGCAAAAUAAUGGAAAACUCAACUGGUUACUAAAAAGUGUAAAAGAUUCUUUAAUUUGGUCUAUGUAUAUUGAAUAGAUUUAUGCCUGAUGCUUGUUUUUAUUUUGUCACUAUAGGGGUUUAUUUACAUUAUGGGUAUCUCUUCCAGGUAGUUCUGUUAUUAUACACUUUAUUACACAAGUGAACGAACACAAAAAUGUGCAUGCAAUGUGCAUACGUACAGUGCAAUUCAAUAAGCAGCUAUACAAAAAUAAAUCCUCUCUAAGUUACAGCAAAACAAAUGCCUAAAGUCAGCUCUAAGUGGAUAUGACCCAUCUAUUUCAUAUCAAUAGAAUGUUUAAAGAGGUCUAGAUUUCAGUUCUUAGAUACCAAUAAAGGAUAUCCCAAUCAGUAGAAUUCGUAACAGGGUUAAUAUCCACAAUAAAAAAAUUUUUGCGAGUGCAUUGAUUUAGACCGUUAGAGGUCUUUAUUUAUGUUUAGAGAUCAAUGUAAAAUCCACUUUUACUAAUAAAAAUCAUUGGAGGAGAUGAGAAAUUGCAUCUCUAUACAAAUAUUGGGAGAAUCGGAUUAUACCACAGAGCUUGCGAUUAAUGUUAGCAACGAAUUAAGGUGAUCCAGAAAUUAAUGUAGUAUGGGCUCAGAUUUUAGAUAAUUGUUCAUAUGAAAUUAUAAAAAC